CUCUUCCUCCAGGAGCCGGGACCAAAAUAACCGGGCGGGAGGGGACACCUCGCAGAGAUGGAUCUCGAACUCCUGGGCUCAAGCGAUCCUUUCACCUUGGCCUCUCAAGUAGCUGGGACCACAUUUGCUCACCAGCUGGCCCAAGACCAGACUGGGCAACAUGGGUCAUCCUCCUCUAAGAUUCCAGGACCAUGAUCAUCCCUCUAUUGCUACUUCUUAGAUCAGCUUGUAAUGUCCAUCUCCCCCACCAGACUGCGUCUCCAGCAUCUCUGAGUCCCCAGGGCCUGGCCUGGGGCUUGCUACAUGGUGGGUGCUCAGUAACUGUGAGGUAAAUAAAUGAAUGAAUUAACC
rnacentral:lncRNA from 1 species